UGCCAGCCGCCGCGGUAAUACGAGGGGUGCUAGCGUUGUCCGGAAUCAUUGGGCGUAAAGGGUCCGUAGGCGAUCUAACAAGUCAACUGUUAAAUACAUCGGCUUAACCGAUGAAAUGCAGUUGAAACUGUUAGAAUAGAGUUUAGGAGAGGAAAGUGGAAUUUCUGGUGUAGCGGUGACAUGCGCAGAUAUCAGAAGGAACACCAAUGGCGAAGGCAACUUUCUGGCCUAAAACUGACGCUGAGGGACGAAAGCGUGGGUAGCGAAGAGGAUUAGAUA
rnacentral:rRNA from 1 species